ACUCAAGCAAUGAUUUUCUGAGAGAAAAAGGUAGAGCUGGCAAGAAGAGGACAUACAUUUCCUAACACUGAGUUCAUGAAAUGAUGUUUAAAGGUAAUGAUGAAUACAAGAAGUACAGAUUUGGGUAGAAGAAACAAGAUUCGGAGUAGAAAAAAAGACCUGGGAAUCAUUUAUCAACAUAGUUUGAUAAAAACGCUAUAGAGAAAGGGGAAGGAGCCAAGAUGGCCGAAUAGGAACAGCUCCGGUCUACAGCUCCCAGCACGAGCGACACACAAGACUGGUGAUUUCUGCAUUUCCAUCUGAGAUGCCUCCCGCAAAAAUAGUUAGAGAAAAUGCUAAUUAUGUCAUAUAAGCACUUUUGGAGAGUUCUCCAGCUUUUGAUGAGAAAAACUACUUAUUUCUGAGUGAUCACAGAAGCCUCACCAGUAGUAGAUUCCAUCUCAAGAAACCACUUUCUUUGUUCAUCCAUAAGAACUCCUCAUCCAUUCAAGUUUUAUCACAAGAUUGUGUCUGUUUAAGAUAUAGACCAAUGGAGCAGAACAGAGGCCUCAGAAAUAGCACCAGACAUCUACAACCAUCUGAUCUUUGACAAACCCGACAAAAACAAGAAAUGGGGAAAGGAUUCCCUAUUUAAUAAAUGGUGCUGGGAAAGCUGGCUAGCCACAUGUAGAAAGCUGAAACUGGAUCCCUUCCUUACACCUUAUACAAAAAUUAAUUCAAGAUGGACUAAAGACUUAAAUGUUAGACCUAAAACCAUAAAAACCCUAGAAGAAAACCUAAGCAAUACCAUUCAGGACAUAGGCAUGGGCAAGGACUUCAUGACUAAAAUACCAAAAGCAAUGGCAACAAAAGCCAAAAUAGACAAAUGGGAUCAAAUUAAACAAAAGAGCUUCUGUACAGCAAAAGAAACUACCAUCAGAGUGAACAGGUAACCUACAGAAUGGGAGAAAUUUUUUGCAAUCUACCCAUCUGAAAAAAGGCUAACAUCCAGAAUCUACAAAUAACUUAAACAAAUUUACAAGAAAAAAAACAAACAACCACAUCAAAAAAUGGGCAAAGGAUAUGAACAGACACUUCUCAAAAGAAGACAUUUAUGCAGCCAACAGACAUGUGAAAAAAUGCUCAUCAUCACUGUUCAUCAGAGAAAUGCAAAUCAAAACCACAAUGAGAUACCAUCUCACACCAGUUAGAAUGGCAAUCAUUAAAAAGUCAGGAAACAAUAGUUGCUGGAGAGGAUGUGGAGAAACAGGAACACUAUUACACUGUUGGUUGGAGUGUAAACUUGUUCAACCAUUGUGGAAGACAGUGUGGCGAUUCCUCAAGGAUCCAGAGGUAGAAAUACCAUUUGACCCAGCAAUCCCAUUACUGGGUAUAUACCCAAAGGAUUAUAAAUCAUGCUACUAUAAAUACACAUGCACACAUAUGUUUAUUGCAACACUAUUCACAAUAGCAAAGACUUGGAACCAAUCCAAAUGUCCAACAAUGAUAGAUUGGAUUAAGAAAAUGUGGCACAUACAUACCAUGGAAUACUAGGCAGCCAUAAAAAAGGAUGAGUUCAUGUCCUUUGCAGGGACAUGGAUGAAGCUGGAAACCAUCAUUCUGAGCAAACUAUCACAAGAACAGAAAACCAAACAGACUCGUAGGUGGGAAUUGAACAAUGAGAACACUCAGACAAAGGGUGGGGAACAUCACACACUGGGGCCUGUUGGGGGAGGGGGAUGGGGGGGCGGGGGCAGGGAUAGUAUUGGGAGAAAUACCUAAUGUAAAUGAUGGGUUGAUGGGUACAGCGGGCCAGCAUGGCACAUGUAUACCUAUGUAAUGAGCCCGCACAUUGUGCACAUGUACCCUAGAACUUAAAGUAUAUAUAUAUAUAUAAAGAUUGCUGAUUACAUUUUUAUAAAAUUUGGGGAACAAAAUUUAUAUACCAACUUAAAAUUUUUUUUUUCAACUUGCGUACAAAUUUUGAAAGAAAAUUUAUCCAAAUAUUAUGUGUUAAUCUUUGUAAAUUGAGAAGCUUUUUUGCAAUUAUAAAAUAAGCAUAUAUCAUUUUAAAAAUUGUUUUUUUAUUACUUUUUGAUUGAAAAGUAAAAAUUAUAUAUGUUUAUCAUGUAUAACAUGUUGUUUUGAAAUAUGUAUAUAUUGUAGAAUGGCUACAUCGAGCUAAUUAGCAUAUGCAUCACCUCACAUUUAUCAUUUUCAAGCUCCACUUGAAUUGUAGUUCUCUUGCUAUUUCCACAACAUCUGCAGUUACUUUCUCCACUGAAGUCUUGAACCCCACAAAUUCAUCCAAGAGGCUUGGAAUCAACUUCUUCCAACUUCUAUUAAUGUUUAUAUUUUCACCUCCCAUAAAUUACAAAUAUUCUUAGUGGCAUGUAAAAUGGUGAGCUUUUUCCAGAAGGUUUUCGAUUUAUUUUGCCAGAUUCGUCAGAAGAAUCACUAUCCAGGGCAGCAAUAGCCUUGCAAAAAUGUAUUCUUAAAUGAUAAGAUUAAAAGUUAAAAUCCCUCCUUGAUCUAUGGGCUAUAGUAUAGAUGUUGUAUACAUGAAUACAACACUAAUCUUGUACAUCUCCAUCAGAACUCUUGGGUGACUAGAUACAUUGUCAAUUAGCAGUAGUAUUUUAAGAGGAAUCAUUUUUUCUGGGCUGUAGCUCUCCACAAUGUUUGGUAAACCAUGCUAUAAAUAGAUGUGCUGUCAUCAAGGCUUUGUUGCUCCAUUUACAGAGCACAGGCAGAGAAGAUUUACCAUAAUUCUUAAGAGUCCUAAAAUUUUUGGAAUAGUAAAUGAGCACUGGCUCCCACUUAACAUUACAAGCUGCAUUAGCCCCUAACAGCAGUGUCAAGUCUGUCCUUUGAAGCUUCAAAGUCAGGCAUUGACUUCUCUCUAGCUGUAAAAGUUCUAGAGAGCAUCCUCUUCCAAUACAAUGCUGUUCUGUCUAAAAUUAAAAUAUGUUGUUAGUGUAGCUACCUUCAUCCAUUAUAUUAGCUAGAUCUUCUGGAUAACUUGCUGCAGUUUUUACAUCAGCACUUGCUGCUUCACCUUGCAUUAUUAUGCUAUGAACAUGACUUUCAUCCUUAAACCUGAUGAACCAAUCUCUGUCAACUUCCAACUUUUCUUCUGUCACCUCCUUACCUCUCUCAGCCUUCACAGAAUUAAAGAGAAUUAGUGUCUUUCUCUGAAUUAGGUUUUGGCUUAAUGGAAUGUUGUGGCUGGUUUGGUCUUUUAUCCAGACCAUUAAAACUGUCUCCAUAUUGGCAAUAAGGCUGUUUUACUUUCUUAACAUUUGUGUGUUUAAUGGAGUAGCACUUUUAAUUUUCUUUAAUAACUUUACCUCUGUACCCACAAUUUGGCUAUCUGGCACAAGAAGACUAGCUUUGAGCCUUUUUUGGUUUUUGACAUGCCUUCCUCAUUAAGCCUAAUCAUUUAUAGCUUUUUAUUUAAACUGAGAGAUGUGACACUCUUCCUUUCACUUGAACACUUAAAGGCCACUGUAGGGUAAUUAAUUGGCCUAAUUUCAAUAGUGUUGUGUCUCAGGGAAUAGGCAACCCCAAGGAGAGGAAGAGAGAAAGGUGAACAGCCAGAUGGUAGAGUAGUCAGAAUACACACAACAGUUAUGGAUUAAGUUUACCAUCUUUGAUGAAAACGGUUCAUAACACCCCAAACAAUUACAACAUAAUUUCAAAGAUCACUGAUCACAGAUCACCUAACAGAUAUAAUAAUAAUAAAAUUUUUUAAACAUUGCAAGAAUUACACCAAGUAAACACAUUCUAUUGAAAAAUUGAGCCAACGCACUGGCUCUAUGCAAGAUUGCCACAACCUUCA